rnacentral:rRNA from 1 species
GACGAACGCUGGCGGCGUGCUUAACACAUGCCAGUCGAACGGAAAGGCCCUUCGGGGUCCUCGAGUGGCGAACGGGUGAGUAACACGUGGGUGAUCUGCCCUGCACUUUGGGAUAAGCCUGGGAAACUGGGUCUAAUACCGAAUAGGACCACGCGCUUCAUGGUGUGUGGUGGAAAGCUUUUGCGGUGUGGGAUGGGCCCGCGGCCUAUCAGCUUGUUGGUGGGGUAAUGGCCUACCAAGGCGACGACGGGUAGCCGGCCUGAGAGGGUGACCGGCCACACUGGGACUGAGAUACGGCCCAGACUCCUACGGGAGGCAGCAGUGGGGAAUAUUGCACAAUGGGCGCAAGCCUGAUGCAGCGACGCCGCGUGAGGGAUGACGGCCUUCGGGUUGUAAACCUCUUUCAAUAGGGACGAAGCGCAAGUGACGGUACCUAUAGAAGAAGCACCGGCCAACUACGUG